CUUCUGAGAGGCCGCCGACUGGAGGAAGUGGAAUCACUUUGGCCCCUUGCUGAAGUGAAGAUGCAGCAUAUGAAGAUGUGGCAGGACCUCAUUAGCCUCAAAUGAAGAUAUACAGCACUUCACAACAGGGUGGUAGCAGGUGGUCUUUAGUGAACAGUCAAAAGUGUGUUGGAAAGAUACUUCUUGAGCUCAAGGUAGAUUAAGAUGUUCCAGGGUUGAGUGAAGAGCCAAUGAAAUGGCAUCUGCUGUUGAUCUGUUGUGAAUGCAACUUGGAGCAGAUCCAAGUCACUUCUCAGGCAGGAGUAUCAUCACCA